GGUGAACGCUGGCGGCGUGCCUAAGACAUGCAAGUCGAGCGGGGCAGGUUUAUACCUGUUCAGCGGCGGACGGGUGAGUAACGCGUGGGUGACCUACCCGGAAGAGGCGGACAACCUGGGGAAACCCAGGCUAAUCCGCCAUGUGGUCCUGUCCUGUGGGGCAGGACUAAAGGGUGGAUAGCCCGCUUCCGGAUGGGCCCGCGUCCCAUCAGCUAGUUGGUGGGGUAAAGGCCCACCAAGGCGACGACGGGUAGCCGGUCUGAGAGGAUGGCCGGCCACAGGGGCACGGAGACACGGGCCCGACUCCUACGGGAGGCAGCAGUUAGGGAUCUUCCGCAAUGGACGGAAGUCUGACGGAGCGACGCCGCUUGGAGGAGGAAGCCCUUCGGGGUGUAACCUCCUGAACUGGGGACGAAAGCCCUGUGUAGGGGGAUGACGGUACCCAGGUAAUAGCGCCGGCCAACUCCGUG
rnacentral:rRNA from 1 species